rnacentral:lncRNA from 1 species
ACAUAAUUUUGUUCCUUUGAGCAAUGAUCUUCUCAACACUAGGAGGGAUGUAGAUUGAGGACCUUAUUGAAGCUAACGAGGUUUGUGUUGGAGGUUUUAGUCUUUUUGACAGUUUAGGUUUCGUCUGAUUGCAUAUUGAUAAUAAAAUUAAAUUUGAAAGGAUGACUAAGUCCAACUUUGUGUUGCUUUUACAAGCCAUCUGGUUUAACAAUUAAGUUAUGCUUCAUGUUUGAUUCAAAAUUUCCAAUUGGUUUUAUUCCUUACCAAUGUAGGUGUGAAUCGGAGUAAUGAAGCACAAUAUUAAGGUGAUAGUUUCCGCUAAUGUAAAAUGGCUUGGAGCAAGAUAAUAACGCAAUGAACAUGGUAGCUUAAUGUUGGAGAUGAAAAGAAGACCGAGUUUUAAUGAAGUAAAAGCCUUACAAAAGAGCUUUAAGUUGAACAAGCUAGAUCAAACGUGAUAUUAGAGAUUUUGAUGUUUUUAAGUUUGAGUAUAGUAAUAUCAAUCACUUUGAUUGCACAAAUAAAUAACCCAUUUGAAAUCCUUUUUAUUUUCUU